rnacentral:rRNA from 1 species
UUCCCCUUCGGGGGACAAAGUGACAGGUGGUGCAUGGUUGUCGUCAGCUCGUGUCGUGAGAUGUUGGGUUAAGUCCCGCAACGAGCGCAACCCUUAAGCUUAGUUGCCAUCAUUAAGUUGGGCACUCUAAGUUGACUGCCGGUGACAAACCGGAGGAAGGUGGGGAUGACGUCAAAUCAUCAUGCCCCUUAUGAUUUGGGCUACACACGUGCUACAAUGGACAAUACAAAGGGCAGCGAAACCGCGAGGUCAAGCAAAUCCCAUAAAGUUGUUCUCAGUUCGGAUUGUAGUCUGCAACUCGACUACAUGAAGCUGGAAUCGCUAGUAAUCGUAGAUCAGCAUGCUACGGUGAAUACGUUCCCGGGUCUUG